UUAAGCUAUAAAGGGCGUAGGACGGAUGCCUUGGCACCAAGCGCCGAUGAAGGACGUGACAAGCUGCGAUAAGCCACGGGGAGUUGCAAAUGAACUUUGAUCCGUGGAUUUCCGAAUGAGGAAACUCACAUAUGGUAAUGCAUAUGUAACCAUACAUGAAUACAUAGUGUAUGGUGGGGAACCCGGGGAACUGAAACAUCUAAGUACCCGGAGGAAAAGAAAGAAAACAAUCGAUUUCCUGAGUAGUGGUGAGCGAAAGGGAAAGAGCCUAAACGUUUAUAUAGUGAUAUAUAAACGGGUUACGGACCCCAUAACGUACUGAUUUUUGUAGUUGAACACAGUUGGAAAGCUGGGCGAAACAGAGUAACAGCCUCGUAGGCGAAACCGAAAUCAGACCGGGGGUAUCCAGAGUAUCACAGGACACGAGAAAUCCGGUGGGAAGACAGGAGGACCAUCUCCUAAGGCUAAAUACGACUUGGUGACCGAUAGAGUAUAGUACCGUGAGGGAAAGGUGAAAAGAACCCCGGGAGGGGAGUGAAAAAGAACCUGAAACCCUAUGUUUACAAGCAGAUAGAGCACGUUAAGGUGCGAUAUCGUACUUUUUGUAGAACGGUCCGGCGAGUUAUUUUAUAUGGCAAGAUUAAGUACUUAAGGUACGAAGUCGAAGAGAAAUCGAGUCUGAAAAGGGCGAAAAAGUCAUAUGAAAUAGACCCGAAACCGAGUGACCUAUCCAUGGUCAGGAUGAAGCUUGAGUAAAAUCAAGUGGAGGUCCGAACUCAUAAGCGUUAAAAAGCUUCGGGAUGAACUGUGGAUAGCGGAGAAAUUCCAAUCGAACUCGGAGAUAGCUGGUUCUCCUCGAAAUAGCUUUAGGGCUAGCCUUGAGGUAAAAGAAUUAUGGGGGUAGAGCACUGAAUGAGGUAGGGGCCAAAUCAGGUUACUGAACUCUAUCAAACUGCGAAUACCAUAAUUAGAAUACUCAGGAGUCAGACUGCGGGAGCUAAGUUCCGUGGUCAAAAGGGAAAGAGCCCAGAUCGUCAAUUAAGGUCCCAAAGAUAUAGUUAAGUGGAAAACGAUGUGAUUUUGCGUAAACAACCAGGAUGUUGGCUUAGAAGCAGCCAUUCAUUUAAAGAGUGCGUAAUAGCUCACUGGUCGAGUGAAGUUGCGCGGAAAAUUACCGGGGCUAAACUAUACACCGAAAUUGCGGAUUCAUGAGUAAUCAUGAGUGGUAGAGGAGCAUUCUGUUGUAGGAAGAAGUGUGAUCGAAAGGACAUGUGGACGAAGCAGAAGAGAGAAUGCCGGAAUAAGUAGCGAAAGCAUGGUGAGAAUCCAUGCCAUCGAAAGUCUAAGGUUUCCUGGGGAAGGUUCGUCCGCCCAGGGUAAGUCGGGACCUAAGGUGAGGCCGAAAGGCGUAGCCGAUGGACAGCAGGUAGAAAUUCCUGCACUACCGAAAUACUUAAAAGAUGCAAGGGACACAGGAGUGGAAGGAAAGCGAGGAAGAGGAAAGACUCGUAUCGAAAGAUAUAGUGAAAAUUAAAGUAACGAAUUUCCAAGAAGCACACUGGCGAGAAAAGCUUGUAGAUAUUGUAUAGAGGUACCCGUACCGCAAACCGACACAGGUAGAUGAGGAGAGGAUCCUAAGAUGAGCGAGAGAAGCAUUGUUAAGGAACUCGGCAAACCAACCCCGUAACUUAGGGAGAAGGGGUGCCUAUGUAAAAAUAGGCCGCAGAGAAGAGGCCCAAGCAACUGUUUAACAAAAACACAGGUUUCUGCUAAAUCGAAAGAUGAAGUAUAGGAGCUGACGCCUGCCCAGUGCUGGAAGGUUAAGGGAAAGAGUUAGAUGUAAGUCGAAGCUUAGAACUAAAGCCCCAGUGAACGGCGGCCGUAACUAUAACGGUCCUAAGGUAGCGAAAUUCCUUGUCAGGUAAGUUCUGACCCGCACGAAAGGCGUAAUGAUUUGGGCGCUGUCUCGACAAUGUACUCGGCGAAAUUGUAGUACUAGUGAAGAUGCUAGUUACCUGCGACAAGACAGAAAGACCCCAUGGAGCUUUACUGCAGUUUGAUACUGGGUUUCGAUAAGUUAUGUACAGGAUAGGUGGGAGACAAAGAAAGAAAGGCGUCAGCUUUUCCGGAGUCACCGUUGGGAUACCACCCUUAAUUUGUUGGAAUUCUAACUAGUGGUCAUGAUCUGGCCAGAGGACAAUGUCAGACGGGCAGUUUGACUGGGGCGGUCGCCUCCAAAAGAGUAACGGAGGCGCCCAAAGGUUCCCUCAGUGCGGACAGAAAUCGCACGAAAGAGUGUAAAGGCAGAAGGGAGCUUAACUGGAAGAUAGACAUAUCGAGCAGAUACGAAAGUAGGGCUUAGUGAUCCGGUGGAUAUUGAAUGGAAAAGCCAUCGCUCAACGGACAAAAGUUACCCUGGGGAUAACAGGCUUAUCUCCCCCAAGAGUUCACAUCGACGGGGAGGUUUGGCACCUCGAUGUCGGCUCAUCGCAUCCUGGAGCGGAAGUACGUUCCAAGGGUUGGGCUGUUCGCCCAUUAAAGCGGUACGCGAGCUGGGUUCAGAACGUCGUGAGACAGUUCGGUCCUUAUCUGUCGCAGGCGGAAGAUAUUUGAGAGGAGCUGUCCUUAGUACGAGAGGACCAGGAUGGACAUACCGAUGGUGUAUCAGUUGUCACACCAGUGGCACGGCUGAGUAGCCAAGUAUGGACGGGAUAAACGCUGAAAGCAUCUAAGUGUGAAGCCCACCUCAAGAUAAGAUAUCUCAUAUCGUAAGAUAGUAAGAUUCCAUAAAGACUAUGUGGUUGAUAGGUUGGAGGUGUAAGUACAGUAAUGUAUUGAGCUGACCAAUACUAAUAAAUCGAGGGCUUAACCAC
rnacentral:rRNA from 1 species